UCCAUCGUGAGGUGGAAUCUGAAGGAAGCUGGAUAUGGGGAACAUACUAACCCAUGGGCAAAUCUCUGGUCUGACGAACAGAAAUCACAUCAGGCUAUGCAUGAGGGUAAGGCUGCUAUACAAGUCGAAGCCCAAUAACUACACGGAAUCAUGUAUGGUAAAUGUGGCAGAUAGAUGGAGAGAAAGAAACGUGUG
rfam:Clostridium asparagiforme DSM 15981 genomic scaffold Scfld4, whole genome shotgun sequence.